GGCAGUUCUUGGGUUAAGCACCUUGGAAUCGGGCUCCCUCCUCUCCGGUUCCUGGUAAGUCACCCAAGAACCAUC
rfam:Myotis brandtii contig143395, whole genome shotgun sequence.